CUGUCGCCGGCGGCGCGCGUGUGGGGUUAUUCUGCUCAGCCCCGCUCCGGCGCGUUCGGUGGGGGGUGUGGAGGCUCUGCGGGUCGUUGUUGGUUCGCGAUGGAAGCUGGAGGAGGAAGAUGGAGAUGGAUCGUGGCGGCGGGGCCCGGCGCGCCCGUUAGGCCUCGGCUCACUGUGAGGGCGGGAGCGGCUGCGUGGGAGCGCCCUUCGCUGUCGCCGCUUUGCUUUGUGCGGCGAGAGCAGCUCGGAAAAGCUCAGAGCGAAGCGGACGGGGAAAAUAGACGGUGCAGACACGAGCACCGGCUGCUUGCGCUCUGCAGCUCUACUUAAAGAUUUCCGGGAGGUGGUAGGGCUCACUGUUGCCUGUUCGGAUGUGAACGAGUGGUUCUAGUGAUGUUGGGGAGGGAGAACCCUCUCUGGGGAGGCUUUCAAAUGUGUAUUGUAAGUGAGGAGGUACCCCUGCCCCUUUAUUCGGGUUGUAGGCUGAGCUCUAGAAGGCCUCGAACCUCCUGUGCUGUUGGAAGAGUAUCAGAGCUCCCUUGGCAUUCCAUGUGCCCGCACAUGAUGAAAACUAUGUUGGUAGGGACAUCUGAGAGACUGAUGAGUACCAACAUAUCUGAGCUGGACGUGGAACCGGGGAGGGAGGCAGGCAGGCAGAUGGAGUGGCUGAGGCACCACGUGUUCAGUGCUCCUGGUGCUGCUGGAUCCACCCGCUUGCUGCAGUCAGUUGGAACAGUUCAGUGAUUCUGACCUGUUCCUGUGUAAGAUGAACUGGUUACACUCUUCCCUCUCCUGCGGCUUCAAAAUAGGCCUGCUGCUGAAUAUGAAGACUUGAUGCUACUUCACAAGGAUUUGAAUAAUGCACUCAUGGAAGAAACAUCACCUGGCACUGGGAAAAGCCACGAGAUGAAUGUGCAAGUCUGCCCUGCCUGGAGAUGGAAGAGUGCCUGUGCCCAGCAGAGCUGAUUUACCUUUGCUGAUGUUGAUGAACAUGCUGCUGUUAUAACUGAAGGCUUUGAAAGUGCUUCUCAUCAAGACUACUGUUGUGGAACUGUGAAGUGGUGCAGUUGGUUGUGCUGCAGGCAGAAAUUUGAGAACGGAAGAACUGCCCAAGAUUUUGUGCCAGAUACUUGGUUGAGUGAAGCUGAAGGGGAGCAUGUGAGAAAUAACACCAACUUUGAGGAAAGGACUGCUCUGCCACCUCACUGCGUGAGGAUGCAACUUUGGAACUGUAUGAGCAAACAGGUGGAAGAUCCCGGGAUAAUGGGUUGCACUUACAUGAGCGGCAUUAAAACAAGACUUUGUGAUGUCAACAUUUGCCUCAUACACUGAUUGGAGCCAAUAAAAUCUUGUAAACUCUA